CUGAAAGAUUUUAGGAGCGGAGACGAGGAAACCAAGAGCUGACGACAAGGUGGCUGCAAAGACACCAGCGAUGAUCAGGUAGUACGAACCUGAUAGUAGACCCAUUACCUUCGAAGUGUUGGCCAGACCAUCAUGACAAGACUGUGACACGAUGCACUCUGUGAAGUUCCAGCCGAACUGACAUCCC